rnacentral:rRNA from 1 species
CCUCAGUAACGGCGAGUGAAGCGGUAACAGCUCAAAUUUGAAAUCUGGCUCUUCCGGAGUCCGAGUUGUAAUUUGUAGAAGAUGCUUUGGGAGGUAGGGCCGGCCUAAGUUCCUUGGAACAGGACAUCAGAGAGGGUGAGAAUCCCGUAUGUGGCCGUGGCCUACGCCCGUGUAAAGCUCUUUCGACGAGUCGAGUUGUUUGGGAAUGCAGCUCAAAAUGGGUGGUAAAUUUCAUCUAAAGCUAAAUAUUGGCCAGAGACCGAUAGCGCACAAGUAGAGUGAUCGAAAGAUGAAAAGCACUUUGGAAAGAGAGUUAAACAGUACGUGAAAUUGUUGAAAGGGAAGCGCUUGCAACCAGACUUGGGCGUCGUCGAUCAUCCGGGGUUCUCCUCGGUGCACUCGACGAGGCACAGGCCAGCAUCGGUUUGGAUGGUUGGAGAAAGGCCCUAGGAACGUAGCUCUCUUCGGGGAGUGUUAUAGCCUAGAGCGCAAUGCAGCCCAUCCGGACCGAGGACCGCGCCUUUGGCUAGGAUGCUGGCGUAAUGGUUGCAAGCGA